rnacentral:rRNA from 1 species
UACGAAGGGGGCUAGCGUUGCUCGGAAUCACUGGGCGUAAAGGGCGCGUAGGCGGAUCUUUAAGUCGGGGGUGAAAGCCUGAGGCUCAACCUCAGAAUUGCCUUCGAUACUGGAGAUCUUGAGACCGGAAGAGGUGAGUGGAACUGCGAGUGUAGAGGUGAAAUUCGUAGAUAUUCGCAAGAACACCAGUGGCGAAGGCGGGUCACUGGUCCGGUUCUGACGCUGAGGCGCGAAAGCGUGGGGAGCGAACAGG